rnacentral:rRNA from 1 species
UACGUCGGGUGCGAGCGUUAAUCGGAAUUACUGGGCGUAAAGCGUGCGCAGGCGGUUGUGCAAGACAGAUGUGAAAUCCCCGGGCUCAACCUGGGAGCUGCAUUUGUGACUGCACGGCUGGAGUGCGGCAGAGGGGGAUGGAAUUCCGCGUGUAGCAGUGAAAUGCGUAGAUAUGCGGAGGAACACCGAUGGCGAAGGCAAUCCCCUGGGCCUGCACUGACGCUCAUGCACGAAGGCGUGGGGAGCAAACAGG